AGGUGGCUCAGUGGUAGAGUACUUGCCUUGCAUGCAUGAGGCCCUGGGUUCAAUUCCUCAGCACCUG
rnacentral:tRNA from 1 species